rnacentral:lncRNA from 1 species
UGAGCACAUUUACAGUUUUGGUUAAGUCAUCUAUGACACGGGGAUAAUGAUGGCCAUUCCUCUUACUUCACAGUUUGAUAUGACAAAGAGACAAGAUCAAGUAGAGGGACAGGCUUUCUGUACUGAGAAGAAUGGCUUUUCCUGUAUGACAACACUUUGGGACUGAAAAUAACAAUGGCUGAAAACUUGAGUCUCUCUCUGAACACGGACAGAUGCUACAUCACCUUAAGGGCUGCUCCUGAUGUCCUCCAGGGUGGCCGUGAGAACUUCCACAUCAUCCAGUAUCCGUCCUUCUUGAACCAGUUUACCGCAUUGCAAAGGUGUCAUUAGCAUGACCGCUUCACUGACGUUCUAACAUCACAAUCAUUGGGCUUCGAUGAUCGUCUUUCUGAGCCAAGGACAGCAACUGUCAAUCCCUUUCAACCGGAUUUGACUCAGUCGCUGAACCAGUGCAGAGAAAGCGAAGACGGUCACUGUACCAGGUACAGUGUUUGACUAAUUGUGUUCUUUCCUGACCUCUGUUUUGUAGGUUGGUGCGGUGACC